rnacentral:tRNA from 1 species
UGCGGAGUAGUUUAAAAAUGACAAAAUGGCGGGCUCAUAUCCCGAAGACUACAGGUUCGAGUCCUGCGUCCGCGACCA